rnacentral:rRNA from 1 species
UACGUAGGGGGCAAGCGUUGUCCGGAUUUAUUGGGCGUAAAGAGCGUGUAGGCGGCCAGGUAGGUCGGUUGUGAAAACUGGAGGCUCAACCUUCAGAGGUCGACCGAAACCAUCUGGCUAGAGUCCGGGAGAGGAGAGUGGAAUUCCUGGUGUAGCGGUGAAAUGCGCAGAUAUCAGGAGGAACACCGGUGGCGAAGGCGGAUCUCUGGGCCUUACCUGACGCUGAGGCGCGAAAGCUAGGGGAGCAAACAGG